UGUAUCCUCCAUUAUGGCCUCCCUUUGUCCCAUAGACCAAUCUCCUUGAGAAAAAUCCUCACCAUCUAUUCUUCUUCUUCAUCUUUCAUCUAAUUCCAUUCCAACGGAGCUAUUACCCCUUUCGAUUCCACUUGGCAAUUCCUCCUUUAGCCAUAUACUUUCGGCAAGCAACUUGUUUCUAGAUGGUGAUCUUAGUGAGAGGUUCCAUCCAAAUAUAACCUCUUGAAUUCAAAUUGUCUUUCGUACCAAGUAAUAACCCUUCCCAUGACCUAAUUUUCCAUAAAGAAAACAAAAUAAGGGGAGUUUUUCAUAUUGGAAAUACGCGUAGCCCUCUUGUUCUUGUGUUAGCGUCAGCUUUUUCUUUCUCUUCAAAGCUAGCCUUACAUCAAUUUUCACCCUAAAUCUCAUAUAUCUUUGUUCUCCUUGUGAAAUCAAAGGAGCAUCGUAUUGUAUAAAUUGUCCAAAAAAAUCCCCCAAUUUUCUUGCUAAACCUUCUGAUAUUACUCCAAAUUGUAGAUUGUGAACUUGGAUCCUAAAAUAAGAAUAAAACAAUGGGAUCUGCUUUGGAUCUUCCCCGAUAUUCAAUCGGUGGAAAAUUAAUAGAUGCUUGUUAGAAGUCCACGACAUUCCAUCCAAUACUAUUUUAAUAUCCACUUCAUAGAAGAAUCGAAAUAAGUAUCUUUUUUUCCCUAAAUCUGUGAUUAUAACUCCUCCUAACGGAUGCCAUAAGUCCGCGAUAGUUCUCUUAAGAGACGGAAAGUGAAUUACGCAAUCUAUAAGAGCUCUCCCCACUAAACAAAACCGACGAUCUUCAUCAUCAUUAAUUGGCUCUCUUUCACAGGGAAUCGACUCUUCUUCUUCAUCCUCCAAACUCAGAUUAGCGAUGUUUGCCUCCAUCUCUGCUGAGCGGUAUCCACCACUUGUUCCUUUAAAAUGAUGGCUGUCCAUGUGGUGGGAAGAGCACCAUCGUUCAACACUUUAGCCCCCAGUCUAGCUUAAUGGGCUACUUCACUUUCUGGACUCUUAGCCUUGUCUCCUCCUCUGUUUAAGUUCUCACUGGUGGACUCCGGUCUCUUUUUUAGGCUUCAUGUUGGCAUCGCACAUGCUGCUCGGUCCCGGCAUUCUUUCUCUCCCUCUGAAGGGUUUUUGUAGGAUUGGGUUUUCGGACUUAAUUAUUGUAUUUUUCUGAGCUUUGGGCCCAGACUUAUUUUUAGUGAAAUCUUUCAUUCACUGGAAACAACAA